rnacentral:rRNA from 14 species
UCCUUGUCGGGUAAGUUCCGACCUGCACGAAUGGCGUAACGACUUCCCCGCUGUCUCCAACAUAGACUCAGUGAAAUUGAAUUCCCCGUGAAGAUGCGGGGUUCCUGCGGUCAGACGGAAAGACCCCGUGCACCUUUACUACAGCUUCGCACUGGCAUCAGGCACAACAUGUGCAGGAUAGGUGGUAGGCUUUGAAGCAGGGACGCCAGUCCCUGUGGAGCCUCCCUUGAGAUACCACCCUUGUUCUGCUUGAUGUCUAACCGCGGCCCGUUAUCCGGGUCCGGGACCCUGCGUGGUGGGUAGUUUGACUGGGGCGGUCGCCUCCUAAAGCGUAACGGAGGCGCGCGAAGGUUGGCUCAGAGCGGUCGGAAAUCGCUCGUUGAGUGCAAUGGCAGAAGCCAGCCUGACUGCAAGACUGACAAGUCGAGCAGAGUCGAAAGACGGCCAUAGUGAUCCGGUGGUCCCGAGUGGGAGGGCCAUCGCUCAACGGAUAAAAGGUACGCCGGGGAUAACAGGCUGAUACUGCCCAAGAGUCCAUAUCGACGGCAGUGUUUGGCACCUCGAUGUCGGCUCAUCUCAUCCUGGGGCUGGAGCAGGUCCCAAGGGUAUGGCUGUUCGCCAUUUAAAGUGGUACGCGAGCUGGGUUUAGAACGUCGUGAGACAGUUCGGUCCCUAUCUGGUGUGGGCGUUGGAUGAUUGAUGGGAGCUGCUCCUAGUACGAGAGGACCGGAGUGGACGAACCGCUGGUGUUCGGGUUGUGAUGCCAAUCGCAUUGCCCGGUAGCUACGUUCGGAACGGAUAACCGCUGAAAGCAUCUAAGCGGGAAGCCGGCCCAGAGAUGAGUCAUCCCUGACAGUUUAACUGUCCUGAAGGGUUGUUUUAGACUAAGACGUUGAUAGGCAGGGUGUGGAAGCGUUGUAAGGCGUUAAGCUAACCUGUACUAAUUGCCCGCGAGGCUUAAU